CUAUCCUGAGAAUCAAGCAGCCAGGCUUAUUAGAAAUUCAGCUGCCAGGGUUACAAAAUCAGUUUUCUCCACUUCAACCAUUGAGGUACUAGCUGAUAGCCUUAUCAGUCAGUCCACACAAGUCUUAGGGAAUCCCUGCUCGGAGAGUUGGAAAUGCUUGGAGGCAGCCUCUGGAGGCAAAGGAUCAGGUAGGACAGCAGCAUGGGACACAGCAUAAGGCAAGGUUUAAAGCAAGGCUAAGCCAAGCCUUGGUCAUUUCUUUGAUUAAUCUUCCCUCCUCUACAAUCUGCAAUGUCCUUUUUAGCAUCUCUGCAGGGUGUUGUUUGUAUUAGCUUCCUUUCGGGGAAGGAAACUGAGGCCAGGAGAGAGAAGUUACUUAGGUAACAAGGUACCUCUCCGAUAGCGUUUGGUCUGGAAUUAUAACCUGUUGUCAAGGCAACAACUGGAUUAAGAGUCAGGAGGCUGGAGGCCCAAUCUCAGCUGUCACGAUCAGCUGUGUAAUAUCAGAGAGAAGAAGAGUAGGAAGAGCUGUGCAGGAGACUCCAGGUUCAGGAUGGAAGGAAACAUGGCUGAGUGAGGAACCCCCUUUUUCAGCAUUAGCUUUGAACAAGUCAUCAUUUCGAUGCCUGCUGCGGUCUCCUUUGGAGUAACCUAGGGGUCAUACCAGCUCACUCCAGCUGUGUUGGAACAAAUAAUCACCUUCAUGCAAAGCAUCAAGGGCUACAUCUAAUGCAUCUUUGAGCAGUCUGAUCACAGAGCAGACAUAACAUCCAUGCACUUCGAAGUUGACAAAAGGUAAAGACUAGAUUGCAUGCUUCCUUGUUCCCCUUAAAGCACAGUUAUACUCUCUUCUCAAGUAAUAAGAUCAGUGAAAAAGCCUAGAAAAGAAUUAUCUUUCACUGUUUCAGACAGAAUUUAUCACUGGUAGCAAAUAUUUGCUAUACUUACAAAUUUUGUUAUACUGCUGUAUUUCCUUUUUAAGCUUGGAGCAACAGUGCUGUAAUACAUAUAAUAUGCUUUCCCUGAGGACAAGUAUGUACCCAUAUUUGCUUCACAUUUGGAAAUCCUUCCCAGGGGUUUUAGGUCCUCUAUCAUUUGUUUCUGUGUGUACUUUUCAACUC